rnacentral:rRNA from 1 species
CCUUUGUACACACCGCCCGUCGCUACUACCGAUUGAAUGAUCCAGUGAGGCUUUCGGACUGGCCCAGAGAGGUGGGCAACUACCACUCAGGGCCGGAAAGCUCUCCAAACUCGGUCAUUUAGAGG